UUGGGAAAAUCCUGUGGCGGCAAAACACAACGUGGAUAGAGGAGUCAGGUAUUCAAUUUACAACAGAUUAGUAAAUAAAAAAACGACUUGUAAGUUUUAAAACUGUACAUUGAAGGCACAAUUUCACUGGAACUUUGUUUAUAAGUAACUAUUUAGGCUAUUUUGUGGCUUUUUUAUACUUUGUCGCCUCAAGUGAAAACGAGCAGCGGCGUUCUUAGCAGGUCAGGUUGUGAAAAUGGCUUUAGACGAAGCGGUGCACCUGCGCACUGAAAUGGAACAGACACAAUCACAAACUAGCGGGAAAACAAACUAAACAAACCGAGAGUAACCAUGGCUAGUGAGGAUUAUCCACACCUUCUUCAAGAUGAACUUUUAAUGAAAAGUUGGAGUGAAUCAGCAAAGGAAGACCGUCACCAGAGCUAAUUUGGUGCAGAAAACCAAGGCUUUUUCAACUUCAGGAUUUUGUUUUCAAGUCACUUUCCUUAAUGCGAUCAUCAAAGGCUGGAGCCCAGGGAGCAGGGGAGUUCCAAUGCCACUCUGAGGAGGGGCUAAUCUGGGCACGGGCCGCCCAGGAUCUCUGCUCUGGUCCCGGGCCAGUGCUCUUGGCUAGCUCCCUGCCCCAAUCAUGAGGCCCGCUCUGCUGGAAGCUUGCUUUGCUAGACGGCAUGGUGACGCAGUGGUGGAUGGAUGACUCAAAAGGAGAGAUGAGGAGAUCGAUUUCACUACAGUGUUCGCCAAGACACUCACUGCCGGCAAGCAGCUGAUAGAGGUUUGCACAAGGCCUACAAUUAAGACAAAUAAACAUGAUGAAAGACGACACUGCUGCGAGCACACCUACACUGCCAAAGAUGGCCAAAAAGCUGCAAGAUGUCUGUGUUGAGGCGAUGGAGAGAAGGAACAAAGAUAAAGACGUGGAAAAUUGGCUGGUGAGUGGACAAGGAAGAAGUGGGAGUUUGGGAUGAUAGGCGUAAAGCACAGAGGACAGAAGACAGUGCCUGUUCUCCGCUUGGUGGAAAGACAGACCAGACGAGAGCUGAUCCCACUGAUUCUGUACCAUGUUCGGACAGGAUCCAUAAUAUUGAGCGAUGAGUGGCGGGCCUGCCGUCAGGCUCUGCCUGCAUUUGGCUACAGGCAUUACACAGUCAACCACAGUGCGGCAUAUGUCAAUGCUGAAACAGGAUGCCAUACUGAACAUACUGAGAGGGCCUGGAGGAGCUACAAAGAGACUCAGGGAAUCGCACCAAGGACCUGCUAAGAGAUCACCUGAUUGUGAUCAAGUGGAAUGAAUGGCUGUGUAAAAAGACACCAUAAUGGUUCAUUAGGACACCUGCUCCAUGAUAUUGCUAAGCAAUACAAAUAGACAGAUGAUCAUGUGGAACUAAAUAUUACAGUAUCUGCACUGAGGUCCAUUUUACUGUAAAACACUUGGACUGUGCUGACUAAUUUGGAACUCUAAAGCAAUGAUCAAUGUUCACUUCAAUAGCGGCCUUUCACAGAAUGUUAAGAAUGCCCAUUUGUCCUCCAUGUUGGAAGAAACAACAGUUGCUAUGUGCAAAACAGUUGCUAUGUGUUGAUAUGUGAAAAAUAUAUCAACAAAAAUUUUAGAAUUUGGCAUCUUAUUACUGGAUCUUGUAAACAAGUCAUAGUGGUUGAGUAAUAUGUUUUUCCAAUAUUCUACCUCCUCUACCACUGCGCAGAAAUUGGGCAUUUUCUCUCUAAAGAUGUUACCAAUGGUUACAGGCAGCCAUGUUCGAAGAAUGAACUACACAAACAUUCUGUGCAAGGCGUCUGUUUUUUGGAAGAGGGCUAAAAUGGAGCAGUGCUAGAUAAUUUGCUGAAAUACGGGGUGAGUAGAUAAUGAAGCAUUUUAUUUUAAAGUGAACUGUGCCUCUAAAGCACCCCUACCCACACAUUUUGAAUGCUGCAUCACUGAUUUAUAUUCAAGUAAAGUUGUCAUUGCUGAGUUGUUGUGUUAACUUUUCUUUUUGUCAUCCCAUCGUUCUCAUCUCCCACCGUGUUUAUCUGUGAUGCAGUGUUGCAUGUUAAUAUUGACGUUCUGUUCAUAAAUGUGCGCAAUAUGAUGAUCAGAUACAAUUCUGAUAUCAGUGCACAAAUAAUCAUUCUUUUAUAGAUCACCAAUAAAAGAUUUAAUGGGGCCAAAUAAUGUUACUUGAUGCUUUAUAAACCACUUAUUAAUCAUUUACUAAUUAUCAUUAGUAUAGGAUGCAACUUUAUAAUAGCCACCCAAAUAAUGUUUAUAGACGGUUUACAUCAACAAUUUCAGCGACGAUUUCUUUCACUCGCUUCCAAAACCAAUGCAUGUGCUAGCUAAGAUCUUUACGACAUGAGGUGGUAGUGCUCAUGCAGUCUUCAUUUUAGGGAAAACACUACUGCUUUUGUCCACAGGGGCCACUAAAAUCAACACAAAACAGUAACUUUAAUAUGCAAAUUAGAAAGUAAGAGGUGACAGACAUGGCAGUUCCCAGGUCAAGAGAGGCUAUGCCGUUGUAUGAAUUUAACUUCAUAUUUCUUUUGGCCACGAAGGAGUUUGUGAGAUUGUAGCUGUCUUUCUUUUAAACCUUUAUUUAUUCAGGGAAGUUUCACUGAGAGGAAUCCUCUCUUUGGCAGGAACGCUCUGAUCACAUUAAAACAGUUACACACAUUCACACACACAACCACAGUCUGAUUUGCCGGCCACUGAUCAGCAGUUGGGAUUAAGGGCCUUGCUCAAGGGCACCUCAUUGUUUGUAACGAGGAGGGGCAAGCGCUGCAUUUUCACUUUCCCCACCCAGAUUUAUCCUGCCAGUCCGAGGAUUGAACUGAUGACCUUCUGGUAACAAGCUCACCACUGCCUUUGCUUGAGAGACUGUAGCAGAGAGAGGUGGACUUGGGUGGCCUCUCAACUUUUAGCACAAAAAGACAAAUAAAAAUACAUGCACACUGCUAUCUUGUUCCCAGUUGUUCUUUUAUUCUACUCUAUUCUUUUAUUCUCUAAGUAGCAAUACAGUGUGCUUAACUAUCAAUCUUGAAUGUUGAGGUGAAUAUAGAAGAAGAGCAGUUGACAUGCUACAGGCAACUAGAGGUACCUAAAUCCCAGUCCUCAUCAUCCAGGCUCCCAAGGAUGCUGUCGUUCCAUUUUUACCCCGCCAUGAUCUGAUCAGAAUGCAAGCUGGGAUGUGAUUUGGCUGAUCUGAUUGCAUUCCAAUUUGAAUGCAUCCUGCAUGCAUUUGCACUUGCAUUAAUAUGUGUUUUUUUCUUUUAUGUUAAUAAAAACCAAAUGGAGUCUAUGUCACAGAGUUCAUGAUUGGUCUCUGGUCAAUUUUGAGGCAGUGCUGUAUUGGAUUCCAUCACAUUAAAUGUGUUGCAACA